rnacentral:misc_RNA from 1 species
GAUGAAGAACGUAGCGAAAUGCGAUAAGUAAUGUGAAUUGCAGAAUUCAGUGAAUCAUCGAAUCUUUGAACGCACCUUGCGCUCCUUGGUAUUCCGAGGAGCAUGCCUGUUUGAGUGUCAUUAAUAUAUCAACCUUCUCUUUUUUGAGUUGUUUAGAUGUGGGGGUUUGCUGGCCUCUUAAAUGAUUCAGCUCCCCUGAAAUGCAUUAGCAGAACAACCUGUUCAUUGGCGUGAUAAUUAUCUAUGCUAUUGAAUGUGAGGGCAGUUCAGCUUUCUAACCGUCCUUGGACAAUUCAUCAUUAAUGUGACCUCAAAUCAGGUAGGACUACCCGCUGAACUUAAGCAUAUCAAUAAGCGGAGGA